AAGCGGACAGCAAGAGCGAGGCCAGAAAUCCCGUUCUUUUCUGUAGCGUAAGUAAUUUCCGAUGAAAUGGGUCCUCAAGACCCGCUACCGCCACCGCCGGUACGUCCGGGAUAUCAGUGAUUGUCUCUUUUACCGGUCCUACAGCGUCCGUAGCCCGCCAGCCAGGUAGAUCGUGAAAGCCAGUCCCUUAAAGGAUGGAGGUCCGGUUUUACCCAACGGGCUUUCGGCCGGGAGACCCAGGGGGUACGUCCGAGGUAAGAGUGAAAUACCAUAACUCCGGUCAGAACCCCGGUGGCGAAAGCGGCUUGUGAGGACGGAACCGACGGUGAGGGACGAAAGCUACGGUCACGAACCGGAUUAGAUACCCGGGUAGUCCUAGCCGUAAACGAUGCCCGCUAGGUGUGGCGCAGGCUACGAGCUUGUGCUGUGCCACAGAGAAGGCAAUAAGCGGGCCGCCUGGGAAGUACGUCCGCAAGGAUGAAACUCAAAGGAAUUGACGG
rnacentral:rRNA from 1 species